rnacentral:rRNA from 1 species
UACGUAGGGGGCAAGCGUUGUCCGGAUUUAUUGGGCGUAAAGAGCGUGUAGGCGGCCUGAAAGGUCAGCUGUGAAAACUCGAGGCUCAACCUCGAGACGUCGGUUGAAACCAUCUGGCUAGAGUCCGGAAGAGGAGAGUGGAAUUCCCGGGUGUAGCGGUGAAAUGCGCAGAUAUCGGGGAAGAACACCCGUGGCGAAGGCGGCUCUCUGGGACGGUACUGACGCUGAGACGCGAAAGCGUGGGGAGCGAACAGG